UGAUGCAGCCAUGCCGCGUGUGUGAAGAAGGCCUUCGGGUUGUAAAGCACUUUCAGUUGUGAGGAAAAGUUAGUAGUUAAUACCUGCUAGCCGUGACGUUAACAACAGAAGAAGCACCGGCUAACUCCGUGCCAGCAGCCGCGGUAAUACGGAGGGUGCGAGCGUUAAUCGGAAUUACUGGGCGUAAAGCGCACGCAGGCGGUUUGUUAAGCUAGAUGUGAAAGCCCCGGGCUCAACCUGGGAUGGUCAUUUAGAACUGGCAGACUAGAGUCUUGGAGAGGGGAGUGGAAUUCCAGGUGUAGCGGUGAAAUGCGUAGAUAUCUGGAGGAACAUCAGUGGCGAAGGCGACUCCCUGGCCAAAGACUGACGCUCAUGUGCGAAAGUGUGGGUAGCGAACAGGAUUAGAUACCCUGGUAGUCCACACCGUAAACGCUGUCUACUAGCUGUGUGUGCCUUUAAGGCGUGCGUAGCGAAGCUAACGCGCUAAGUAGACCGCCUGGGGAGUACGGCCGCAAGGUUAAAACUCAAAUG
rnacentral:rRNA from 1 species